rnacentral:rRNA from 1 species
AUUGAACGCUGGCGGCAGGCCUAACACAUGCAAGUCGAGCGGAUGAAGGGAGCUUGCUCCUGGAUUCAGCGGCGGACGGGUGAGUAAUGCCUAGGAAUCUGCCUGGUAGUGGGGGAUAACGUCCGGAAACGGGCGCUAAUACCGCAUACGUCCUGAGGGAGAAAGUGGGGGAUCUUCGGACCUCACGCUAUCAGAUGAGCCUAGGUCGGAUUAGCUAGUUGGUGGGGUAAAGGCCUACCAAGGCGACGAUCCGUAACUGGUCUGAGAGGAUGAUCAGUCAACUGGGAACUGAGAAACGGCCCAGCCCCCCAAGGGGGGCAGGAGGGGGGAAUUUGGGAAAAUGGGGGAAAGCCUGAACCAGCCAGGCCGGGGGUGUGAAGAAGGGCUUCGGAUUGUAAAGCCAUUUAAGUUGGGAGGAAGGGAAGUAAGUUAAAACCUUGCUGUUUUGACGUGACCAAAAAAAGAAGCACCGGCUAACUUCGU